rnacentral:rRNA from 1 species
UACAGAGGUCCCAAGCGUUGUUCGGAUUCACUGGGCGUAAAGCGUGCGUAGGCGGCUUUGUAAGCCAGGUGUGAAAUCCCCGGGCUUAACCUGGGAAUGGCAUUUGGGACUGCAAGGCUGGAGUGUGGCAGAGGAGACUGGAAUUCCCGGUGUAGCAGUGAAAUGCGUAGAUAUCGGGAGGAAUACCGAUGGCGAAGGCAGGUCUCUGGGCUGACACUGACGCUCAUGCACGAAAGCGUGGGGAGCAAACAGG